AGGCACUGUGCUGGUAUACAAAGGCAAAAUCAUAAUGUACUUAAAAGAGAAUACUACAUCAAAUGUCUGGAAAGACCAAUCCAGGAAACAUUCCUCCCUGAAGUAGUCAGGGCAGUAACCUGACAAGGGCAAGAGACUCUGAUCGAUUUCCUGAAUGGUAUCCUCUUUCUUCAUGUGCUGAAAGGAUUAAGGGCGGCCAAACAACUUCUAAUCUGGAAAGCUGUCCUUCCUUCCAUUUGCCACUACUAAAGACUAGAUCAGUGGCAAGAAAUGAGUGUAUCUAGAUGGGACCAAUGAGAUGGGACCAGUAGGUGACAACAUGUGAGCAAAGGUGGCUUCGGGGAUUGUGACCCCUUGUGGUAGAGACAAGUGACAGUUACAUGGAUUCUGCAAAGGCAUUGACUUUUGAAGAAAGGGG
rnacentral:lncRNA from 1 species